GUGGCGCGAAAUCUGCUCCCGUCGGGGGCUGUGCGGAUCCAUCGCGGAGGCACUCUUCGGGGUGUGCAGCCCCAGUCUCCUCUUGGCCAAGCUCAGCAGCCGGAGGCCGGUCUUGCCUGCCGUCUUCCCGCCGCGGGGCCGGAAGGGGCGGUGUGGUCGGGGACUCGGGGCCCACAGGGAAAACAACCCCCUCCGGGCGUGGGGCUUAAAUUGGGCUUACCUGCAGCGGGCGUGUGCGGACUGGGCAGGGAAGUAACUCCCUCCAGGUGAGAAAGCUGUGAGGACGGCCUUCUCUCCAGUAGGGGGAAACCUGCCCUCCAGGUGUCGGGGAGGAAGUGGAGACGAACCUUUCAGUGCGUUUUUCUAGGUUGGGAGUGGACUUGUCAGUUCACUUUGGUCGGGUCGCUGCUGGGUAAAGGAGGGGGUUGCCCCUCUGCGUAGCGCUCACACUCCUCCUGCAUUCCAAAUUCAACCUUCUCAGGACUGCCUCCUCCCACGAGAUACGUCGAGAAGGAGGUAUGGCCUCCGGGCUUCCGACAGCCUGGUUCCAUGAACCAGUGACCUUUGAAGAUGUGAUCCUGGGUUUUACUUCAGAGGAAUGGGGACUACUGGACCUCCAACAGAAGUCCCUGUACAGGGAGGUGAUGCUGGAAAACUACAGGAACCUGGUCUCAGUGGAACAUCAGCUUUCCAAGCCAGAUGUGGUAUCUCAGUUAGAGGAGGAGGAAGCGCUCUGGUCCGUGGAGAGAGGAAUUCCUCAAGACACUUUUUCAGAGUAUCCUGCAACCCAGUUGGACCCUCAUUUGGAUCCUCUUCCUGCUGGCAAUCCCCUGAUGAAGAUCGAAGUCGUUGAAGUCCUCACACUGAACCAAGAGGUAGCCCGUCCCCGAAACGCCCAGAUACGGGCCCUCUAUGCUGAAGAUGAGGGCCUGAGCCUAGAUGUGCCUGGGGAGCCCACUCAGCAGCUAGGCAAGCAUCCAGGUGACCCCGAGGCUGCACGCCAGAGGUUCCGGGGCUUUUCCUUCGAGGAGGUGGCAGGGCCCAGAGAGGCCCUAGCCCGGCUGCGGGAGCUGUGCCGCCAGUGGUUGCAGCCAGAGGCGCACUCCAAGGAACAGAUGCUGGAGCUCCUGGUGCUAGAGCAGUUCCUAGGCGCACUGCCCAGGAAGCUCCGGAUGUGGGUGGAGUCGCAGCACCCAGUGGACUGCCAGGAGGCAGUGGCCCUGGUGGAGGAUGUAACCUGGAUAUCUGAGGAGGAAGCAUCACCCUCCCAGGGCCCCACCAGCUCUCUCCAGACCACAACUCCUCAGGAAGAGAAGGAAGAGAACAUGACCACCUGGCCAGUGAAGGCACUGCCUGAGACACAGAAUGUGGCAUUGCAGGAACCAGUGACCUUCCUGGAUGUGGCUGUGGACUUCAGCAAGGAAGAAUGGGGGCUACUGGACCCCAUGCAGAGAACUGAGUACCAUGACGUGAUGCUGGAAACCUUUGGACACCUGGUCUCCGUGGGACUCCUUCAAUGGAAGGAACUACCCUGGCUGGAUGCUCAUCACCAAGUUAAGCAGCAGGAGACUGGCAGUGUUAGCAUAUGUGUCUGAUGCCCAUAUUUCACGUUUUACAUGAAAGGACAGAUUAAAAUCCUUUCUCCAGGUCAUAUAGUCUAUAACUUGCAACCCAUCCCAUCUCUUGCUCUACAACUCCACCUCUGUUUUCUUGAGUUGUGCAUAAUAUUUCAAAACAUGUUCUAAAAUUCUGGGUCAGAUAUUGAACUUAGGCACAUCACGUAUUGGUUGAGUGCUGCUGGGCAUGCCUCUUAAAAGAGUCCUUGGGUUCAUGCUGACAAGGGUGAGGCACAGUCAUGGCUUCUGGAAUGAGUAUGUCUUGUUCCUUUCUCGACAGGAGUGAAUAGCUCCUGGAGACCGACAAGGGGAGCCAGGAGGACAUGUGCCUAGAGAAUGGUGAUGGCACACCAGCUGUCCUGUUCUUCAUGCAUUAGGCACAGGGCUCAUGGCUGCUAUAUCACAUUUAAACCUCUUCACAUGUUAGCUUCUUUGAGAGAGUUAACAUCUAGGGGCUUAAAGAACUUGCCAGGGCCUGCUGCCUUCCCACUACACAGUUGGAGAUCUUUCCAGGACAGAGCAGUUUUCAGUGGAGAACAUCAGCAGUUCCUUUUCCAAGUCCUGAUGAUGUAGAGAUGUUUGUUUACCUUGGGAGUGACCUCACCAUUAUGCCCAGUGCCCACUGGUGAAAGUCAUAGCCAUGCCCUCAAAUGAGGUCAAUUUAUCCUGAAAUGACAUACACUGAUUUAUUGCCAGAAGAUGGUCACUGAAAGGUGAGCAGUACUGCUUUCACAUCUGUGGUUGUUUCAAAUACAGAAAUUCUUUACCAUUCCUCCAUUCCUAGAAUCUGGUUGGGCUUCUGACUGCUUCCAUCUGUAGGGUGGGCAGAAGUUAUGCUGUGUAUCUUCCAUGAGAUGAGGUCAUAAAGGAUGCUGGGGUUUUCUGUUCCCUCAGUGAAAUGAGAAGUGGUGUCAGCUGAAACAGUGACAAGGCUACACAGUGUUCUGUGGUGAAUGAGGAGAAGGAAUAUCAACCCUUCAGAGGGGGUGAAUGGAUGAGAGUAGGCUUGCCUAGCCGCUUAUCCAGGGCCCCUGAGGUUUGGAGUCACUUAAUGAAAGUGGCCAAAUUUGAAACCCAGUUGACUGCUUUAGGUCAGAGAAAUUCAUCUCUGAAGUGAAUGGAAGAGCUCUUACUUUCUUUAAAGUUGGAUGUAAUGAUGCAGAAUUUGAAUAUGUGAAACUGUUGAUUUCCCAUCUUUUCCCACUCACGCAUGAUAAUAGCAGCACCCACCAUUACCCUCACAAGUUUGCCAUCAGGGCUCAAUGUGUCUGAAUCUCCUGGGGGACCAUGGGAGGCAGGGUAAUGGCCCCACAGAUGUCCAUGCUAGUCCCCAGAACCUCUGAAAAUUGUGUUUCACAUGGCCAGAGGGACUUUGCAGAUGUGAUUAUGCUAGGAUUUUGAAACCGGGAGAUCAUCCUGGAUUAUCCUCAUGGGCUCAGUGUCAUCACAAGAGUCACCAUAAAAGGGAGAAAAGGGCAGCCUGGGUGGCUCAGUCAUUUAGUGCUUCCUUCAGCCCAGGACCUGAUCCUGGAGACCCAGGAUUGAGUCCCAUGUCAGGCUCCCCGCAUGGGGCCUUGUCCCUCUGCCUGUGUCUCUGACUCUCUCUCUUUGUCUGUCUCUCAUAAAUAAAUAAAUGAAUAAAUAAACAAAUAAUGGAGAAAUAAAUAAGAGGGUCCAAGUAAGAGAGGAAGAUACAAUGACAAAAGCAGGGAUUGGAGUGAUGCAGGGCUAUAAGCCAAGGGAUGUGAGUAGCUUCUAGAGGCUGGAAAAGGCAAGGAAACUGACUCAUUCCCUAGAGUCUUCAGAAUAAACAGUCCUGGAGACACCUCGAUUUCAACCUCUAGGAUGGUAAAAAACAUAUCUGUGUUGUUCAAGCCGCUAAAUUUGUGGUAAUUUAUUUCUGCAGUGCUAGCAAACUAAAGCAGGAGGUAUAUGUGAUUUGCAAAUUUCUACCAAGAGGUGCUGAUCUGUGCACUAAAGGAUGGUAUACCUCAACAGGAAGCACUGGAUCUGUGGGAGGGAAUGGGGGCAGGCACUGUGCCUAGGAUUGGCAACCUGAAGGGAACUAGUGGUUUAGUUCUAGUGGGAUGACACUCUGUUCUCACAGAAAUGUGGAGAUUGGUUAGGUAGGAAAACUCACCACAAUAUGGGUUAGUAGGAUGCUCAGACUUUUGUGAGCUUGGCACAAGGACUGUUGUCUGCUAGAAAGGGGUGCAAAUGUAACAUCUGGGGUAGAGGCAGCUGCACUUGUGGAAAUGGAUGAGGUAUAAUUAUGAAUCAUCUGAAAGCUGGAGAAAAUGGUCCAGUUCACAAGCUGAUACCUGGCUUUCUACUUCCUCAGACCCUCAGAUCACAGAACAUAGAAACAACCACCCUUAUACUCUUGAAAUCUGGCAUUUAAUAACAGCCAACGAUGUGGACAACCAUCAGAGCCCCUCCUUGGUUUCAGUAUCUUCUUAGCACCCACAAUAACCUUGCCAAUUCGUCAGUAUUCUUCCUCAAUUGUGGGUGAACAGGAGGAAACUCAGUAAGUUGUCCAAAGGGACAGAAGUGGAAGUGGCAGAGCUGGGAGGUCUACAUGCUUUUGGUCACUUGUUCAACAAGCAGUCCUUGAAUGCCUGGAGAAAACAAUCCAAAGACACAGAAUUAUUCACCUAUCCCCAGGGUCUUCAGUUAUACUUAGAAGAAUAUGGAAGGUCAUAAAAGAUAAACACUAAAAUGCAAAGGAUUAAAGUAAUUCUUCUGGGCUGUAUGUAGGGUCAGACUGAAAUAGGGCUUUGGCAGUGAGAGUGGAGGUUAUUUCAGAAUAGAGAAUGAGCUAAUGGAUAGACAAGUACUUGGGAUCUGCAUCCACCAAGGUAUAUGGUUCUCAUUCUUUUCCAAGAACCUUGUUCACAAUUGCCACCACUUCCAACAUCACUCAUGACAUUUGGGUAUGUCAGGACCUACUAGAAUGCCAAGUUUGAAACAAUCCUUCAAGUGACAUAAAAAAUAUGGGGAGGGGUGUUUAUGUCUGGAAUUAGAAUCAUGGGACUUAGGAGGAAAAAGAGCAAGGGAACAGGGUCCAGAGAUGGAAGAAAAGGGGAUUUAGGAAAGGGGCAUGAGAGGAGGUACACUCAGAAGUUUCAUGAAAGGUUUGUGAGCCAUUUAAAAGAGUUACAAUCAUCUCUUCUCUGCCUAAAUGUUAUUGUGUCAGGAUGUGACCCUGGAUUUGUAGCAGUCACCAUGAGAACACAAUGAGGCUUAAUGAGAAGUGCUGCCAAAACAACAAAAAAGGAAAGUGGAAGGAACCUGGACCUAUAAUGCCUCUCCAAGCCCAAAAGCCCCCUGCCUCAGCACUUGCUGGUGCUGAUUUUCCCACACCUCUCAGUCACUGGGGUGAAUGUGGAUUUGCAGAAGGCACUCGGGAAUUCCACUCUCUUUACCAGAGAUUGCUAUAGAUAUGGGAAUGUGACCUAAUCCUAGGCAAGAUUACUAUUCUUGAUGGUUGUCCCUGUGAAGACAACUGCUACAGUCAUCUUAUCGGCCCGUGGAGGGUGGCAUAACAGAAAAAUGGCAAGUGUCUAGAUCUGCAGUGUCUUUGCCAUCCACUGACCCAAUCUUGCUAUCAUCUUUGUUCUGGUAUACGCAACAAGUUUCUUAUUGUUAAGGCCAGUUGGCUGGGCCAUUCUGUUACUUGCAUGUAGUUAAAACACCCAGCUAUUGAAGAGGAAGCAAAAACAUUCUAAUGUAUUAAUCUUUCCUCACAGUAGGAGUAGACAUGGAGAAUCAGUGGGUUGAAUAUAAUUCACGUCCUCUAUAAUAUCUAAUAUUCAUGAGGUAAGAUGUUAUGUGUAAGGGGUGUCAGAGUGGGAAAUUACAACCAGUGAAAUGGAAAAGUAGAGUAAGACUUCUAAAAUAGCAAAAAGAAAAAAUAGAAUGUAUGAGCAAAAAUUCAGGUAAAAAAAGAAGAAAGAAAAAAGAAAGAAAGAAAGAAAGAAAGAGAAAGAAAGAAAGAAAGAGAAAGAAAGAAAGAGAAAGAAAAAGAAGGAAGGAAGGAAGGAAGAAAGAAAAAAAGAAAGAAAGAAAGAAGAAAGAAAGAAAGAAAAAGAAAGAAAGAAAGAAAGAAAGAAAGAAAGAAAGAAAGAAAGAAAGAAAGAAAGAAAGAAGGAUGGGAUCCCUGGGUGGCGCAGCGGUUUGGCGCCUGCCUUUGGCCCAGGGCGCGAUCCUGGAGACCCGGGAUCGAAUCCCACGUCAGGCUCCCGGUGCGUGGAGCCUGCUUCUCCCUCUGCCUGUGUCUCUGCCUCUCUCUCUCUCUGUAUGACUAUCAGAAAGAAAGAAAGAAAGAAAGAAAGAAAGAAAGAAAGAAAGAAAGAAAGAAAGAAAGAAUAUAAUAGGGAAGCCUGGGUGGCUCAGCGGUUGAGCUCCUACCUUUGGUCCAGGAUGUGAUCCUGGAGUCCCAAGAUCGAGUCCCACAUUGGGAUCCCUGAGAAGAGUCUGCUUCUCCUUCUGCCCGUGUC